rnacentral:sRNA from 2 species
GCCAGUGUUAGGGAAAUUGCUUUUAUUAAUAGCUUUCGUUUGUCAUCCAUUGCUUUGUAUUGGUCAAUUGAUUUUGAUUUCUUGAACAAUGCUUCUCUUCACGAAAAUCGGGCAGAGAGGGGUAAUAUGUCUGAUAUUGGUAGAUUGCCCAAGUAUGCUCAGUGAUGAAAUAUUUAAGACAGCUUGGUCCAUAGAGGAGCAUUUGCAGUAAAGAUGGGGGCCGGCCAGUAUUCGAUCUCGUAAAUUUUUGUGCACAAAGUUCGCCGGACGAGCGGCUCGGGUCCCCAGAUGGAAAAUUGGGAAUCGCGUACUUAUUCUGAGACUGAGAGUGCUCGGGUUUGAAUGUGCAUCUCUUCUAGCAGGAAGCUGUCGACUUGAUAUUUGGAAAUCAGAUAAUUUGAGUAAUGACAAUGUUGCUUUAUCGAUAACUAUGUCCCAUGAUAGUACUAAUAGGUCUCCAGGUCUGGUUGCAAAUCUGCAAGUGUUGCGGGUCGAUCCCAAGGUUGGGAAGGACCUGUCAGUUGCGAAGGAUCCAUGGAUUCACAGAAGAUAGAAACAUCCUUAAUUAUGUAACUAGCCAUGGGUCGACGAUCAGCCCUUAAGUGUAGAUAUCUCGUUCGCAGCAGUGGUAACGGAGCCGUUUGAGGAGCUAACAAAAUUUUUGAAAUUAUAUCACGACUCUAAAAUGAGUUUCCUUUCGACAUUGCUUAGCGGUUUGGGCCUGAUUGCGAAAUCGACAUCUGGUGGAUUCAAGGAGGGAUGGUGGUGAGUUUCACAGCUUGUAUUGAGCAACAAUGGGCCCGUUUUAUUACACGAUCUUGUGACUAAAACCGGGAGUAUCAAUUAAAAUCUCAUCGAGAAUUGUUCUAGGAAUGUUAAUGACUUCAUGAGGUAGGUCAAAGCUGAAAAAGAAAAAAAGAAAAAGAAAAAGUAUGGUAGGUAGCCUUUGGGAUAUAUAACCCUCAAGCCUCACCAAGAUCCGAGGAACAAAUUAUUGAAGUGGGUUUGUGCGUAGAUGCUGCAACUACCCUACCCCAUGCUAUAUCUUCGGCCCCAUCUCUGUCUUAUCCAAGAAUAUAUUCUCUUCUUCCAUCCACACUUGGUCCCCCGUAAUACACGAUUGAUAGAGACAAGAGUAAUAGCGAUUGAAGACGAUUCCCGUUCAUAGAGGCUUCCAAUAAUCAGAACCUACAUAGUACCCUCGUAGCUGUAGGUACCCGGCACUUGUUUUAGGCCAAGAGAGUGGAAGUCAACUAAAACCCGUUCUGAGAAGUGGGUAACACAGGGUUUGUUGGGCUGAUCCAUAGGAGGUCUGUUGAUGCACCGAUAGGUUUGACUGGCCAUCUUCUAAAUGGUAAUCUCAAAGGAGACAGCCGCUGUGUGGGGAUGAUUGGCUGAAGGCGCUAGUAGGUGCAAGCCAGCCUGCCCGAGGUGUGAAGCUGUUCCGAGAACCUGCACCUCACCAACCCCCAUCGCUCUGAAUCCAAUAUUUGGCUGCGAUGGACAUUCUUUUCCAAGUACCGACUGCCAUUAGGCUGACAUCUUAAAAAGUACUUCAUGCUCAUUUGUGAUUCGCUCUGGUAUACAUUGAAUUUGGGAGACGGGAUGAUGCGAAGCGCGAAUUAACAAUGGCGAAGAAAUUAGAAAACAUUCAUUUUUCGUUGAUCUUGGGAUCUGCAACCGCCAAAGUUAUUCUGUUCGACGCUUAAGCUCCGAAACCUGUUUCCACCGUGCUUUCGGCUUCCUGAACCUGCCUGCUGGGCUUGAGUAUUUGGUA